CUAGCCUCACCAUUUCAACCCAAUUACCCAAGUACUUUAAAUGCUUCUUCUGGCUAACUAUUUUCAAUGUGUAUCUAUUAUCAGGACUGUUUAUUCAUUAGCCUACUGUCAGCUAACUAUAUCCAGUAGCCUGCUUUUAGCUAACUAAAUCAUUAGCCUACAUUCAGCUAGCUAUAUCCAGUGGCCUACUUUUAGCUAACUAAAUCAUUAGCCUACAUUCAGCUAACUAUAUCCAGUGGCCUGCUUUUAGCUACCUAUCUCCAGUAACGUACUUCUUGCUAACUAUAUCCAGUAGCCUGCUUUUAGCUAACUAAAUCAUUAGCCUACAUUCAGCUAACUAUAUCCAGUGGCCUACUUUUAGCUAACUAAAUCAUUAGCCUACAUUCAGCUAACUAUAUCCAGUGGCCUGCUUUUAGCUACCUUUUUCCAAGCUACUCCACAAUCUUUUCAUGCACCACCUGGCAAAUGCAGGAAAUACCCCCUGAUCUCCCAGUAAAGAGGACACAAUGGGCAGCGAACGGAGACAGUAACACAAGCUCGGUGGUGUGAGAUGUAACAGUUGGUACUGCCAAGCCUCCACAAACACACUCGGCUUCCAUGCCCUCUGGUCCCGAACGGCUUCAGCGGAGCAGGUGUCUGCCCACAUUCUUUACAUAAGCUCUUGUCAAACAUGGCGCACGGCAACAAGGCCUCACAGCUGCAGGACAAUGGAGUCACAUUAAACUACGGCAUGGAGGCCAGGAACGCACACUUCAAGCCAG